GAUGAAGAACGUAGCGAAAUGCGAUAAGUAGUGUGAAUUGCAGAAUUCAGUGAAUCAUCGAAUCUUUGAACGCACAUUGCGCCCCUUGGUAUUCCGAGGGGCAUGCCUGUUCGAGCGUCAUUAUAACCCCUCAAGCUUAGCUUGGUAUUGGGGCCUGCCAUCCUGGCAGCCCUUAAAAUCAGUGGCGGUGCCAUCCGGCUCUAAGCGUAGUAAUUCUUCUCGCUAUGGAGUCCUGGUGGAUGCUUGCCAUUAAUCUUUUAACUUCUAUGGUUGACCUCGGAUCAGGUAGGGAUACCCGCUGAACUUAAGCAUAUCAAUAAGCGGAGGA
rnacentral:misc_RNA from 1 species